CUGGCUUCUUGAAAAUCCAAGAUAUACGUGUUUCCUAUGAGAAAUUAAGGAAACUUAACAAAAAUCACUGUAAACUUCUUUUGGGAAAAAUGACAAAAAUGGACAAAAUGGUUAGUGCACUACAAAACGAGCUACGAGAAGCCAAAGACAUGAUAUCACGGUUAGAGCAUCAAAAAGUGGAAUGGGAACGUGAAUUCUGCAGUUUGAGAUGUACCUUAAAACAAGAAAAAGAAGAAAGAAGAAAUGUUGAUAUGUUAUACGAAAAUAUCAGGGAAAAGUUAAGAAGAAACAAAGACGAAUAUAAGAAAGAAGUUGAAACAAAACAACAAGUUGAACUCGUUCUUAGAACGCUAAACAUGGAAUUGAAGGCCACAAAAAAAUCAGGUUGUAGAAGAGCACAGUGACACUCAGUGACAACUUUCUCCAGAUCAGAAGGCCAGAAUCUUGCAAGAUGGAAGUCUAAACAAUCACCUUUAAAAGCAAAAGGAGCUAGAAAUGGCUCAUAAGAAAACUAAUUCUAAGGUAGUUGUGAGACAACUUCAACAAGAACUGGCUGAUACUCUGAAAAAACAGUCUAUGUCGGAGGCUUCCCCAGAGGUUAUGUCACAUCUUCUUCUGGAAGAUGAAACACAGGAUCUCAACAAGAAAUUAGGUCAAAUCAGAAAUCAGGCUACAGGUUAAAAAUGCCAGGCAAGGAGAAACCAUCAAAAAUCAAGCGGCCCAAAUUCAAGAUCUCGAGAGUAACGUGAUAAAGACAAGUUUGGCUGAUGUCUUUACAACAGAACUGGAAACUACAUCAUAAAAAUGAGUUUUGCACCUCGAUGCAAAAAAUCAAGUUCUUCAACAAGAGUUAUUACGAAUGAAAUCUUUCGAAGAACGUGAAAAACUAGAGAACAAUAACAAGAAGUGAGCAAUAACAAGAAGUUACAACAAGAAGUAGUCAAAUGGAAACAAUUUAUGGAAAUGAAUAUGGUAGAACACAGUCAAGUGGAACAGUAUAAAUGGGAUAUUGAAGAAAGAGCAUGACUGGACAUAGUCCAGAAAAAUUACAUAGAAAAAUUACACGAAGUCAACCUGUUUUUACAGGUUAAUUUAUUGAUCUGUAAUGUGCUUUAAUUCAUUUCACUGAAAAUUACAUUUUGGAUAUAUGUAUUGUAUGUGUUUCCUCUACUUGCUUUAUGGUAAUUUGUAGAGUUCUGGAGGCAUUUGUUCCUGCCUUUAAAGAUUUGUUUUCAUCUUUAUUCCUACUAAAUCGAGAGGAUAAGAAAAAAUGAUGAUUUAAGCAACUAGUCUCACUAUUAAGAGGAAAAGAAAAAUUGUGAUUUAAAAAUUGCACUGUACUUUGAUUAUUCUUAAGUUUAUUGUUGACUUUUAAAAUUUUGUCAUUGAUUCUAUUAUUUGAAUUAUCAGAUUGCGUGAAUACUAAUACAAGAAUGAUUGAACUUUAAUUUUAUAAAUCAUAUUUAAUUCAGUUGACAUUGAUGAUAAAUAUUUUAUACUUGAGCUUUUUUUCAUUUAAAAUUGCUCUCUGAAACAUUGACUCAGAACUAAAGGAAACAGGUAUAAUUAAUUAUUCAGAUUAUACCUAUUUUGAAACUAUCCUGUUAAUUUUCAUUAGGCACAAGCAGCAGAUUGAGAAAACUUGGACCAAUUAAGAGAAAAUGUUCAUGCUUCAACGAGACGUCAAAUGGAACUUAGAAUUAAAGAUCUGGAAUCUCAGGUCUCUACAAUGAAGACUUCUCAAGAAGAUUUCUACUAAAACAGAGUUGGAAACCUACAGGCAACUCUACUUAGAAGAAUUAAAAGUUAGAAAGUCCUUGAGAAAUAAGCUGAACAGGUAAGUCAAAACAGAAUCAUAGACAAGAAAUUUAGCUUAUUAAUUUGCCUCUAAAGCAUAAUUUCUGUGGAGCCAAGAUCAUGAGAUGAGUAGGAAGUGAAAGCCAACUAGAUCGUGUCAUUUUGGAAAAUGAUGUUUCUAAGUGAACUCACCUUUGAAAUGUUAGUCCAGGACAGUUUGCAUCACUCCUCUUUUUUUCGGUUUUACAGGGACUCUUCCCCCACCCCCCCCCGCACCCCCCGCCCUGUAUAUUUUCCAUUGAUCAGAUCUGCUAGUCUUUAAGUGCAUUGUUUGAAGCUUUCUCAUUUAGAAGCAUAUUAUUAU